AACGAACGCUGGCGGCAUGCCUAACACAUGCAAGUCGAACGAGACCUUCGGGUCUAGUGGCGCACGGGUGCGUAACGCGUGGGAACCUGCCCUUAGGUUCGGAAUAACUCCCCGAAAGGGGUGCUAAUACCGGAUAAUGUCUUCGGACCAAAGAUUUAUCGCCUUUGGAUGGGCCCGCGUUGGAUUAGCUAGUUGGUAGGGUAAAAGCCUACCAAGGCGACGAUCCAUAGCUGGUCUGAGAGGAUGAUCAGCCACACUGGGACUGAGACACGGCCCAGACUCCUACGGGAGGCAGCAGAGGGGAAUAUUGGGCAAUGGGCGAAAGCCUGAUCCAGCAAUGCCGCGUGAGUGAUGAAGGCCUUAGGGUUGUAAAGCUCUUUUACCCGGGAUGAUAAUGACAGUACCGGGAGAAUAAGCUCCGGCUAACUCCGUG
rnacentral:rRNA from 1 species